CCUACGGGUGGCUGCAGUGAGGAAUAUUGGUCAAUGGACGAGAGUCUGAACCAGCCAAGUAGCGUGAAGGAUGACUGCCCUACGGGUUGUAAACUUCUUUUAUAAAGGAAUAAAGUGAGGCACGUGUGCCUUUUUGUAUGUACUUUAUGAGUAAGGAUCGGCUAACUCCGUGCCAGCAGCCGCGGUAAUACGGAGGAUCCGAGCGUUAUCCGGAUGUCUUGGGUUUAAAGGGAGCGUAGAUGGGUUGUUAAGUCAGUUGUGAAAGUUUGCGGCUCAACCGUAAAAUUGCAAUUGAUACUGGCAGUCUUGAGUAAAGUUGAGGUAGGCGGAAUUCGGGGUGUAGCGGUGAAAUGCUUAGAUAUUACGAAGAACUCCGAUUGCGAAGGCAGCUUACUAAGCUGCCACUGACAUUGAUGCUCGAAAGUGUGGGUAUCAAACAGGAUUAGAUACCCGAGUAGUC
rnacentral:rRNA from 1 species